AGGUAACCGUAGAGUUUGGAAUCCUGGCUCAGAUUGAACGCUGGCGGCAGGCCUAACACAUGCAAGUCGAGCGGUAGCACAGAGAGCUUGCUCUCGGGUGACGAGCGGCGGACGGGUGAGUAAUGUCUGGGAAACUGCCUGAUGGAGGGGGAUAACUACUGGAAACGGUAGCUAAUACCGCAUAACGUCGCAAGACCAAAGUGGGGGACCUUCGGGCCUCAUGCCAUCAGAUGUGCCCAGAUGGGAUUAGCUAGUAGGUGGGGUAACGGCUCACCUAGGCGACGAUCCCUAGCUGGUCUGAGAGGAUGACCAGCCACACUGGAACUGAGACACGGUCCAGACUCCUACGGGAGGCAGCAGUGGGGAAUAUUGCACAAUGGGCGCAAGCCUGAUGCAGCCAUGCCGCGUGUGUGAAGAAGGCCUUCGGGUUGUAAAGCACUUUCAGCGGGGAGGAAGGCGAUAAGGUUAAUAACCUUGUCGAUUGACGUUACCCGCAGAAGAAGCACCGGCUAACUCCGUGCCAGCAGCCGCGGUAAUACGGAGGGUGCAAGCGUUAAUCGGAAUUACUGGGCGUAAAGCGCACGCAGGCGGUCUGUCAAGUCGGAUGUGAAAUCCCCGGGCUCAACCUGGGAACUGCAUUCGAAACUGGCAGGCUAGAGUCUUGUAGAGGGGGGUAGAAUUCCAGGUGUAGCGGUGAAAUGCGUAGAGAUCUGGAGGAAUACCGGUGGCGAAGGCGGCCCCCUGGACAAAGACUGACGCUCAGGUGCGAAAGCGUGGGGAGCAAACAGGAUUAGAUACCCUGGUAGUCCACGCCGUAAACGAUGUCGAUUUGGAGGUUGUGCCCUUGAGGCGUGGCUUCCGGAGCUAACGCGUUAAAUCGACCGCCUGGGGAGUACGGCCGCAAGGUUAAAACUCAAAUGAAUUGACGGGGGCCCGCACAAGCGGUGGAGCAUGUGGUUUAAUUCGAUGCAACGCGAAGAACCUUACCUGGUCUUGACAUCCACAGAACUUAGCAGAGAUGCUUUGGUGCCUUCGGGAACUGUGAGACAGGUGCUGCAUGGCUGUCGUCAGCUCGUGUUGUGAAAUGUUGGGUUAAGUCCCGCAACGAGCGCAACCCUUAUCCUUUGUUGCCAGCGGUCAGGCCGGGAACUCAAAGGAGACUGCCAGUGAUAAACUGGAGGAAGGUGGGGAUGACGUCAAGUCAUCAUGGCCCUUACGACCAGGGCUACACACGUGCUACAAUGGCAUAUACAAAGAGAAGCGACCUCGCGAGAGCAAGCGGACCUCAUAAAGUAUGUCGUAGUCCGGAUUGGAGUCUGCAACUCGACUCCAUGAAGUCGGAAUCGCUAGUAAUCGUAGAUCAGAAUGCUACGGUGAAUACGUUCCCGGGCCUUGUACACACCGCCCGUCACACCAUGGGAGUGGGUUGCAAAAGAAGUAGGUAGCUUAACCUUCGGGAGGGCGCUUACCACUUUGUGAUUCAUGACUGGGGUG
rnacentral:rRNA from 1 species